rnacentral:rRNA from 1 species
UUUGAUCCUGGCUCAGGAUGAACGCUAGCGGCAGGCUUAACACAUGCAAGUCGAGGGGUAACAGGGAUUGCUUGCAAUCCGCUGACGACCGGCGCACGGGUGCGUAACGCGUAUGCAACCUACCUUCUACAGGGGGAUAGUCAAUAGAAAUGUUGAAUAAUACCCCAUACGAUCUUUGAAUAGCAUUAUUUAAAGAAGAAAGUUCCGGCGGUAGAAGAUGGGCAUGCGUCCUAUUAGUUAGUUGGAGAGGUAACGGCUCCCCAAGACAUCGAUAGGUAGGGGUCCUGAGAGGGAGACCCCCCACACUGGUACUGAGACACGGACCAGACUCCUACGGGAGGCAGCAGUGAGGAAUAUUGGACAAUGGAGGCAACUCUGAUCCAGCCAUGCCGCGUGCAGGAAGACUGCCCUAUGGGUUGUAAACUGCUUUUAUACAGGAAGAAAUGUACCUACGUGUAGGUAUUUGACGGUACUGUACGGAUAAGGAUCGGCUAACUCCGUGCCAGCAGCCGCGGUAAUAAGGG